AUAGUUAAAAUAAAAUCAUAUUUAUCAAUAGUAUAAAAUGUCAAUCAGAAAAUAUUUCACUAUGCAAGUAAUUAAAUUGUGGUCCAUCAAACAAUUUUUUAUGCGAAAAUGGAUAGGCAAUAAAAGUCUCUUUAUAUCAUUUGCAGAUGAUUCCAGUUCUGACCUCCAACUAAGUGGCUUGAGGUAGUACAAUGCUUCCACCAAUCCGAUUAUCCCAAGACUUUUUUUUAAGGUAAAUUUUGUGUGUUUUCAUCAAAACUUUAUUUGCGUACAAAUUAAAGGACUAAAUACAAAAAGAGUGUCCCAGUGUACUUACAACAUUACAGGCUCUACAGAGGUUUAGAUGUGUUAAAUCUUCCCCUUAAUUUGCAAGGAAGUUGUUUCCAUGAUUUUAAAAUUCAAACCAGAGGCAGUGACCUCCAAAUCACAAUAGGGUAACCUUAAUAUUACACUAAGACAUGUCUAAGUAGAAGAAAUGACUACCAAACGAAGAUGGUUAAGAAUAUCGUAUGAGAAGAAUAACAACUAUAAUGGCAACUAAAGUUAGUCUAUGAAGUACAGAAAUUUUACAAUGAAGACCAACAAUUUCUCUAAUAUGGGCAGUAAAACACAUGAUCUGUUGGCUGAAUUUUGUCUUGCUUUCCAUUUUGUAUGAUUUAUACUAUUGCUGUUAAUAAAAGAAGCGGCAAAGCAACAAGAAAGUAUUCAAUGUUGUCUAAAAAAUGAAAACAAGUGUUUUAUA
rnacentral:misc_RNA from 1 species